UACGAAGGGAGCUAGCGUUGUUCGGAAUUACUGGGCGUAAAGGGCGCGUAGGCGGCUUCGAUAGUCGGGCGUGAAAUGCCUGGGCUCAACCCAGGAAUGGCGUUCGAUACUGCGAGGCUUGAGUGUGGGAGAGGAUAGUGGAAUUCCCAGUGUAGAGGUGAAAUUCGUAGAUAUUCGGAAGAACACCAGUGGCGAAGGCGACUUACUGGACACAUAUUGACGCUGAGGUGCGAAAGCGUGGGGAGCAAACAGG
rnacentral:rRNA from 1 species